AUUUUUCUGGUUUGAAAUUGUACUUCUCUGAAGUUGUUAUUGGUUGUUGGGUUUCCUCACUUGGUUGCUGAAGAGCUUGUUUGUAUCUCUAUGGAUUCUAUUCACAUUAUGCAGUUGGACCAGCAGCAAUAGCUGUAGCAACAAUAUGUCUAUCAAGAAUUGAGGAAUCAGCAGAAAAAGAAACAAGCUGACCUAGAACAUGGCCAGUUUCCAUUUUCCCAGAAGACUACAUUGCACAGAGGUUUUAUUUCCAGUCUGAAAACCUACAAACACUUGCUUCCACAAAGAUACUGCGGAGUCGUACAAAGUCCUCUUUUGAGUUUCCUGUGGACCUUUCUUCAGUUAAAAUCAAAACUAGUCAAGUUGACUGGAGACCAGGAACCCAGAACAAUGGAAAAUCUGUUUCCUGAGCAAGCAGGAGUUCUAUGGUCCACUCAUAGGUCCACUCAUUGAUGUUAGAAACAGCAAAAGUUCUAAUUUAGUUGGAAAGCCUAUUUUCCACAAGGAAAUAUUUUCAGUCUCCUAGAGUUUGGCAAUAAUUUCUUUAACAAAUGUAGCUGUCUUUCUAGGAAUGUCCAAAAUUGAAAGAAGAUAUCUCUAACUUUGUCUGGAGAUAUGGAUAUAGGCAAUAUAGACUACACUUUUCCUCCUUUCUCCCCUCAAAAGUCUGUAUCAUAAAUGUAAGCAUUUAGAAAGUCCAUAGAGGAUCUGUCUGGUAAAUAAAUGGACAUCAAAUGAAAGCUGUUAUAGUUAUGAAUGUACUAGGAUUGAAGUCUGAAGAACUGAAGGCUGAUGAGAGCUAUUAUCCUAAUUUCUAGAUAUUUUAGAGACAAUCUGUAUAUAUUCAACAAGUUUUGGGGAAAAAAAGUCUGAAGUUUCUCAUUUUAAGUAAAACUAAGUUCUGAUUUGGAUUAGAAAUUACACAGAAUCUUGUCAAAUUCUUUGGCCACCCAGAAAAUACUAUAAUCCUGGUGCUUCUUGAAAUCAGAAUACAAGAAUAAUUCAACACUGUCCAUUUGUUCAAUAAUGUAACUAUGCAUUUUAUUAAAUCUUAAUUUAAUAAAUGUGGUAUUUUUAAUAUUAUUGGGAAGGAACACUGUUUUCCAUUUCUCCUUCUUAUUCUUUGAAACAAAACAAAACAAAACAAAUCUGUACCCAUGCUAACAAAAUCACAGUAUGGGCGCUAUAAUAACGUAUAUCAAUUCUCCCACUAACGCCUACUGUCUGUGUCUAUAUAUUUAUUAAAAAUUUACACACAUAUAUAUACAUUUGUAGAUGUAUAUUAGGUCAACUUAAUUUAACUAUUUGAAACUUACUCCAUGGUUUAUGUUACUAAACUUUUAAUGGCAUUGUUUUAAAGUAAAAGAUAACUAGAUGGAUGUUCCUUGUUAUCUUGUGAGGAG
ensembl:lncRNA